rnacentral:lncRNA from 1 species
CGAAGUUCUGAAGAGUUACCUAAGGUACGAUGUAAAGACUUGGGUUCGUAAGCGUUAUUGUAUCCAAAAAAACUUACACAAGGUCUUAUCAAUACUUUAAGGCUAGUAAUCUCUAUGUUUAUCGAAAUUAGUUUAGCCCUGGUUUGAGAGAACCUGUAUAAAAUCUAUUGUGUUAGUUUUUUUAUUUUAUUUUACUAUUUUAUAGAUGAAUAAAAAUAACAGUUAAUAGCUUAAAAUCGAUUAAUAAAUAAUUUGGCCAUCGCCUGCGCUAAACCCAAUCACAUAGCCAUCGCCUGCCAUAACCACCACAGUGAGCAUUGAUAUCCUAUUCCUCCAUCUUCAUACAAUCGGGGUAGGAUCGCGGCAGAGGCCGAUAAAAGACGGUUGGUACUCGGACACCGGUUGUACUGACCACAUCACACCCGACAACGGUAGAUGGAUUCUCCAAACAAAAUAGUUGAUGGAUCUUUAAUUUUUAUUUCUCAGACCGUUUUUUCAACAUAUUUUUGCAAUAAUAAUUCUCUUAAACUAAACAAUAUUCUUGUGGCUCCUAUAGAUAAUCCAAUUAGAUCGAGUAUGUUUUGAUGAUAAUUCUGUUGUUAUUAAGGACAAUUAAAGCAUCUAAUUAUACGUUGAUCACUAGAGGCAUGAUCAAGAACGAUCUUUACUACUUCGAACUACAGGAUCUUCCAUCUGUGAAUCUAGCUGAAAAGCCUCUGUGAAUCUCUGACCUUUGGUUACGGGAAUUUUCAUACUGUUAAAAAAUGAUUGAAUUAUUUGAGUUGUCUGUAUCAGG